GACGAACGCUGGCGGCGUGCUUAACACAUGCAAGUCGAACGGAAAGGCCCUGCUUUUGUGGGGUGCUCGAGUGGCGAACGGGUGAGUAACACGUGAGUAACCUGCCCUUGACUUUGGGAUAACUUCAGGAAACUGGGGCUAAUACCGGAUAGGAGCUCCUGCUGCAUGGUGGGGGUUGGAAAGUUUCGGCGGUUGGGGAUGGACUCGCGACUUAUCAGCUUGUUGGUGGGGUAGUGGCUUACCAAGGCUUUGACGGGUAGCCGGCCUGAGAGGGUGACCGGCCACAUUGGGACUGAGAUACGGCCCAGACUCCUACGGGAGGCAGCAGUGGGGAAUAUUGCACAAUGGGCGGAAGCCUGAUGCAGCAACGCCGCGUGCGGGAUGACGGCCUUCGGGUUGUAACCCGCUUUCGCCUGUGACGAAGCGUGAGUGACGGUAAUGGGUAAAGAAGCACCGGCUAACUACGUG
rnacentral:rRNA from 1 species